CGCUCGGAGUGCGGGGCCCACCACAACCACGCCCACCCGGAACUCCAGCUAGCCCGCAAGCGCCGUACGCAGCCCCGGUUCCCGCUCGCGCCUCUCCCUCCACAUCUCCCUGCAAGCUGAGGGAGCCGGCUCCUGCCUUGGCCAGCCCAGAAAGCGGCUCCCAUAGUGCAGUGGUGAGCUGAAGGGCUCCUCAAGUGCUGCCAAAGUGGGAGGCCAGGCAGAGGAGGCGCCGAGAGCAAGCGAAGGCUGUGAGGACUGCCAGCACGCUGUCACCUCUCAAUACUACAGACAGGAUCUCUCAUCUCCGCACACGAGAAGAAAAAACCCACGGAACCAGUAGGGCUGGACCCUACACGGAUGUGUAUAAUUAAAAAGAAGAGACAAGCUCUGGAGACAAUGUGGAGUAAUUGGAACCCUCAAGUGCUGAUGGUAGGAUUAUAAAAUGUUCCAGCCAUUUGGGAAAAGAAUUUGCCAGUUAUCAACAUGUUAAACACAGAAUCUCUUCCUAGGUAUAUAUUCAAGAGAAAGAAAAGCAUAUAUGCACCAAAAAAUUAAAAAAAAAAACACUUUUACAUGGAUGCUUAUAUAUGAUUCAUAGUAGCCAAAAAUAGAAGCCACCCGAAUAUCCAUCAACUGAUAAAUGGAUUUGCCAAAUGUCAUAUAUUCAUAAAUGGAAUAUUAUUCCAAAAGAAGAACAGAGUAUUAAUACAAGAUGCAUCAUGGAUGAACCCUGAAAACAUUAUGCUAAAUAAAAGAAGCCAGUCAUAAAAGAUUGUAUUAUGAUUCGAUUUACAUAAAAUCUCCAGAAUAAGCAAAUCUAUAUAUGUAGAGAGAAAGCAGAUUAAUGAUUGCCUAUGAUUUCAGGCAAUUGAUUAGUCAAUUGAUUACUAUAGGCAAUGGUUGUCUAUGACCAUACAAGUAGUUGCAUGUGGUAAGGAAAGGUCAAUGAUAAAGAGUUACUGCUAAUGAAUAUGUAGUUUUUUGUUUUUGUUUUUUGAGUGUUGAAAAUGUUCUAGAAUUAGAAUGUGGGGAUGAUAUUACAACUCUGUGAAAAUAUUUUUAAAAACAUUGACAUGUACACUUUAAAUAGAUAAAUUAUAUGCUAUAUGAAUUCUUUAUCAAUAAAUAGGUUUAAAAAGUUCCUAAUGGGAAAAUAUAAUAUUCAUUCAAAUAUUUAUAGCCACAUGCAAAAUACAUUACCU
rnacentral:lncRNA from 1 species